GAUGAACGCUGGCGGCGUGCCUAACACAUGCAAGUCGAGCGAAGCGGGGACGGGGGAGUAAAACGUGGAUAACCCCCUAUAAGACUGGGAUAACUUCGGGAAACCGGAGCUAAACCGGAAACUUAUAGAUGGAUCCGCGCUGCAUUAGCUAGUUGGUAAGGUAACGGCUUACCAAGGCAACGAUGCAUAGCGGACCUGAGGGGGUGCUCGGCCACACGGGAACUGAGACACGGUCCAGACUCCGACGGGAGGGCGCUGUAGGAAAUCUUCCGCAAUGGGCGAAAGCCUGACCGAGCAACGCCGCGUGAGUGAUGGAGGUCUUCGGAUCGUAAAACUCUGUUCUUAGGGAAGCGGUACCUAGUCGGAAAGCCACGGCUAACUACGUGACAGCCGCCGCGGUAAC
rnacentral:rRNA from 1 species